rnacentral:rRNA from 1 species
GUGGGGAAUAUUGCACAAUGGGCGCAAGCCUGAUGCAGCGACGCCGCGUGCGGGAUGGAGGCCUUCGGGUUGUAAACCGCUUUUGUUCAAGGGCAAGGCACGGUUUCGGCCGUGUUGAGUGGAUUGUUCGAAUAAGCACCGGCUAACUACGUGCCAGCAGCCGCGGUAAUACGUAGGGUGCGAGCGUUAUCCGGAUUUAUUGGGCGUAAAGGGCUCGUAGGCGGUUCGUCGCGUCCGGUGUGAAAGUCCAUCGCCUAACGGUGGAUCUGCGCCGGGUACGGGCGGGCUGGAGUGCGGUAGGGGAGACUGGAAUUCCCGGUGUAACGGUGGAAUGUGUAGAUAUCGGGAAGAACACCAAUGGCGAAGGCAGGUCUCUGGGCCGUCACUGACGCUGAGGAGCGAAAGCGUGGGGAGCGAACAGGAUUAGAAACCCCAGUAGUCC